AUAAAGGUUCGUGGGAAAACAAGAAGGUGACGUGCAGCUCGGAGCUCGAGCCGGACAGGACCGUUCAUUGCAUUUAUCUUCAUUUUAACUGAAGGAAACCCCCCCACAAGACAUUCACUCACACCUCCGACUUUAUUCAAACCAUGCGGCGUUAUUUCGAGUCUCCUGGAACCGGCUUCAGGUGAUUGAAGACUCUGGCUCUGGCUAGCAGCUAAUGUUAGCAUCGACGGACGCGCUAGCUCCUCAUCAAUGACUCGAUUGUGAAGAGUGGGUCGGAACCAGCGCACGAGAUUCCUCUGUGCCUUCAGCUGCCUCGGAACUUCACCCGAACACUUGGAGGGAUGAAGAAUUGUGAGUACCAGCAGAUAGACCCGCGGGCUCUGUCUGUGUCGCCCGCUUCGGCGCAGAACCGAACCGAGAAGAAAGCGGAGAGGCUGCGGAGGAAAUGGGAAGUGUUCCCGGGGAAGAACCGCUUCUACUGCGACGGACGGAUCAUCCUGGCCAGACAGAGCGGCGUCCUGCCUCUGACACUGGGCCUUAUCGUUGUCACCUGUGGCCUUUUCUUCGCUUUCGAUUGCCCGUUUCUGGUGGAGCACCUGACUGUGUUCAUCCCCGUCAUCGGAGCAGUGCUGUGUGUGUUUGUUGUCUUCUCGUUGCUGAGAACCAGCUUCACCGACCCCGGUAUCCUCCCGAGGGCCACCCCAGACGAAGCCGCAGACAUCGAGAGGCAGAUAGACACCUCAGGGUCGUCUUCGUAUCGGCCGCCGCCGCGCACCAAGGAGAUUCUUAUCAAUCAGCAGGUGGUGAAGCUGAAAUACUGCUUCACCUGCAAGAUGUUCCGCCCUCCACGGACCUCGCACUGCAGCCUCUGUGACAACUGUGUGGAGCGGUUCGAUCAUCACUGCCCGUGGGUGGGCAAUUGUGUGGGCAAGCGGAAUUACCGCUUCUUCUACAGCUUCAUCAUCUCCCUCUCCUUCCUCACGUCCUUCAUAUUUGGCUGCGUGAUCACCCACAUCACGCUCCGCUCUCAGUCCAGUAAAAACCUGGUCAAGGCCGUCCAGGAAAGCCCGGCGAGUGUGGUGGAGCUGGUCAUUUGCUUCUUCUCCAUAUGGUCCAUUCUGGGCUUGUCGGGCUUCCACACGUACUUGGUAGCCUCCAACCUGACCACCAACGAAGAUAUCAAAGGCUCCUGGUCCAGUAAAAGAGCCGAGGAGACGGGAAACCCCUACAGCUACAACAACAUUUUCCUCAACUGCUGUGCCACCUUAUGUGGCCCCAUGCCUCCCAGCUUGAUUGACAGAAGAGGCUUCCUCCCUCCAGAAGAAGCCGCUUCAGUGGCCUCAGCCUCGGAAAUCGAGUUGCCACCUUUCCCAACCAAGAGCGACGCACACAUGUGCACUCAGGGCACCAAGGACAUGCUGGAGCGGAUGGUCCACUCCCCUGACUUCCGUUGCCUGUGUCCUCCUGGCACACCCAAAACCUCCCCCCUGGGUGUGGAGGUCUCCGGCAGCACGACGCUCCCUGAGGACGACUCGCUGACACCUGGCUGCGCCCCACACGCUCGCUCUCCUGGGAUGGCUUCCUGUCCUCCGUUUACCAGGAACAGCAAGCGCGACUCGCUGCACUCCAUCAACCCGGCCUUUCGUCUGGCUUCCCCCUCGCCGUCUCUCAGUCGUGCCACCAUGAUCUUGGGAGACUCCACUGACACAGGCUUUGUUCCGCUCGCGUGACUACAGUCGUCAGCAGCAGAACGGACGUCAUAGUCCUUGGCUUCUGGGGAGCUUCUCACGAGACCAGUGGCGUCUUGAAGUCGAAGGUAAACUUAGUACGAGUGUCAAGCACAAUAGAAAUUUCUUCUUCUUUUGAAUGACGGCAGCCGGAACCUGCCUCUGCACCGAGAGAACCUCAAGCCAUCUUCUGCUUCUGUCUUAUGCAAACAGACCUGACUGUAUCUCCAGGAGACCAGCAGAUCUUUUCAUUGCUUUCUGAGACUUUCUCUUCUGUCUUUUAAAUCAAGGCGCAGGUGAUGUCAGGGGUUUAUUCUGGGUUUGAAUGGCCUCAUGAGCUUCACUGGUCUGAGAGCCUGUUGCAUGUCUCAUAGAAUAUUGAAGCUAGUUUCAUCAAAUCAACUGUUUUGCCAUCAAAACGGCUCCCACAUUGUUAACCCUUAAAGUCGCACUGGCUCUCACUAAAACACUAGGUUCUGUUGGCUCUGAACAUUUCUGAGCGGCUGCAGGGACGAGCUGUUCAUGGAUUCGGUCACGACUGUCCAAACUGUUGCCUUGAUUUAAACGCCAGCCUCAUCAGGUCCACCCACUUUGAUGCCACACUGCGGUCCGUUGUGCAUGUCACUCGUCUCACAACACAUCUGCUGUCCAGCUGGAAGCUUGUGCCUGCUUGGAUCUGUGAAACUGGUUUGGUCAGAGUUGUCAACAUUAUGACCACCUGUGUAUUGCCGAGUAGUGACCUGCAAAAUCCAGUCAAUUAUAUCUGGAGUGGACAGUACCAGAUGAAAGGAAAGAAAAAUAGGAUGUCAUUUUUUUAAUUAGGUUUUAAUUCAAAUAUCGAUUUAAUAUCUCUAUAUUUCUAAUACCUUGUUAUAUCAGAGGUUCACCUUUUUAUAAAUGUAUUAUUAGUUCCAUCAAUAUUUAUAUUAAUUGUGUUUUUAUCAUACAAAAGUUCAGGCCUCAGUUUCACAAAAAUGUAUUUAUUUCAAUGUUUUAAUUUGCUUUCACAUCAAUUCUCAUUUUGUUGCCCAGAAAAACCUCGGGAGAUUGUGUUUUUAAGACUCGUUGAAUGGGAACAGUUUGUUUGGUCAUAAUGUUUUGGUGCAUCUGUUUUACAUCCAUCUAAAGGACACAUCAGUCUCGCCUGUGGGCAGAUGUUGAACCUCAGGCCGCAUGUUGAUGUUUGUAAUCUCACUGUCCCGCAGCAUCCUGGAAUCUGCUAGGGUUGUGUCAAACUGCACGUGUCAUUGUAAGCCGCCAGGGGGCAGUAUUUGAUCGGGACUACAGUUUAGUACUAGCGAUGCCUUUUCGUGUUUAGUUUUGGAGCAUUCACCGGUAGUCAUGCGGGGGUGGUGCGUUAAGGGCAGGGGUGACGUCACAAUGGUCAAUAAAACCCGUUUUCUUAAUCGGCUGCUUUAUUUGUCAGUCUGAACCGCGUGGUUGGGCCAUGGUGGUGGACGGGCCAGUGGUGACUGUGCCAGAGAUGAAUGACAUGAUGUUUGAAUACUCACCUUCAUGAGCGACCUGUGAAGAGAGACACGUCGCCAUGGUAACAGCAGCGUUCGCCACGACUAAAAGGGAGGUGACAUCUGUGUGAGCACAUCAAGGUGGACAGGAUGGAGAAGCAGGCUCUGUUUCUGCUGUGGAGGAGGUGAAGGAGCGGGGACUACACAUCAUGAACCUCCCUCUCUGAGAUGAAGGAGCUUCACUGGCGAGCCAUCUUGGAGGAAAUAAAGUCCACUUACGUAACAAGUGUGUUGGACUGAAAAUUCCAACUGGCAUUCUCAUCCUGCGUCCGUCCCACUCCUCUCAUCUGGUCCAAAUCUAAUGAAAUAAGUGGUAAAAAACAAGUUGGAAUUUGAGAUUAAACUUCAUCUGUGGCGACUCUUGGGGGUCGGGUGGAGUCCAGUCUGAGAGGAUGUCAACACUGGGUUGGAAAGUUGUUUACACGGCUCGCAGCGAUAAAAGGUAACUGAGCUCAGAUGCUAAAUCUGAGUCACCUGCUGUAAAACACUGCUGAUAAGACGCUUAUCUCCUCUUUGUUUUCAGGAACAGCUCUGACUCUGUGAUGUGUAUGAAAGUUCAGUCUUCUGUCAGGAUUACACAAAUCUAUAAAGCUCAGAGCUAGAAAUACAUUUCAUUUCUCAGCUAAGGAACGUCUUUUUCAAAAGAUGCCGUCCGGAGUCCGUUUAUUAUUCCCCCUCUGCCUCCAUGCUACAUUUAUAUGUGAGACAUGCAACGUGAAUAAAUAUUACACCUUC